rnacentral:rRNA from 1 species
GACAGAGGCCCAAGCCGUUAGGCGGAAUCACUGGGCUUAAAGCGUGUGUAGGCGGACGCCUAAGUGUCUUGUGAAAUCCCACGGCUCACCCGUGGAACUGCUGGGCAUACUGGGCGUCUUGGGCCAACUAGGGGCAGCCGGAACAAGCGGUGGAGCGGUGAAAUGCGUAGAUAUCGCUUGGAACGCCGAAGGUGAAAACAGGCUGCUGGGGUUGCGCCGACGCUGAGACACGAAAGCCAGGGGAGCAAACGGG